rnacentral:lncRNA from 1 species
GAGGUGGGUGGAUUGCUUGAGCCCAGGAGUUCAAGACCAGCCUGGGCAACAUGGCAAAAACCCAUCUCUACUAAAAAAAAAAAAACAAAAAAAAAAACAAAAAUUAUCAGGGCAUAGUGGUGCGCCUGUAGUCCCAGCUACUCUGUAUAGAUACACACAUACAUGUAUAGCUUAACAUGGAUUUUGGCAUAGCAAUUGGUAGCAAUUGAUUAUGAGAGGGGCAUUUUCAUGGGCCCUGAACUGUACAGGACUUUAGGGGUGCACUUAUCUAAAUUCCUGGCCCUUAGGGUCGAGACAGCUGGUGGCUAAUAUAAUCCAACAGUCCAUCAAACAUCAGUUCAGUCCAGCUGACUGGCUGGGUCUGUUAUCAGCAGUGCCAAUCACAAGAACCUGGUCAUAGAAUCUCAAAGUUGGACAGAG